rnacentral:rRNA from 1 species
CAUUUCUACACCAGUAUGAAAUGACUAUACCCCCUUGAGAAUUCUGAUCUAAGCAGGGUUGGGCCUGGUUAGUACUUGGAUGAGAGACUGCAGGGAAUACCAAGCGAUAAAGUGG